AAUCAACGCUGGCGGCGUGCCUAACACAUGCAAGUCGAGCGGGAAAGUUCCCUUCGGGGAGCGAGUACAGCGGCGCACGGGUGAGUAACACGUAGGUAACCUACCCUGGAGACUGGGAUAACCUGCCGAAAGGCGGGCUAAUACCAGAUAAGACCACAGGGGCUCCGGCCCCAGAGGCAAAAGGUGGCCUCUGCUUGCAAGCUACCACUCCGGGAUGGGCCUGCGCGCCAUUAGCAGUUGGUGAGGUAACGGCUCACCAAGGCAGAGAUGGCUAGCUGGUCUGAGAGGAUGGCCAGCCACACUGGGACUGAGACACGGCCCAGACUCCUACGGGAGGCAGCAGUGGGGAAUAUUGCGCAAUGGGCGAAAGCCUGACGCAGCGACGCCGCGUGGGUGAUGAAGGCCUUCGGUCGUAA
rnacentral:rRNA from 1 species